GCCCUUAGAGUUUGAUCAUGGCUCAGAAUGAAUGUUGGCGGCGUGGAUUAGGCAUGCAAGUCGCGCGGGGUAGCAAUACCCAGCGGCGAAAGGGAGAGUAAUAUAUGGAUUAUCUGCCCUCAGGAUCGGGAUAGCUACGGGAAACUGUAGGUAAUACCGAAUAAUAUCUCCGGAUCAAAGGUGAGAUUCCGCCUGAGGAUGAGUCCAUAUCCUAUUAGCUUGUUGGUGGGGUAAUGGCCUACCAAGGCUUAGAUGGGUACCGGGAGUGAGAGCUUGACCCGGCUCACUGGGACUGAGACACUGCCCAGACACCUACGGGUGGCUGCAGUCGAGAAUCUUCGGCAAUGGACGAAAGUCUGACCGAGCGACGCCGCGUGUAUGAUGAAGGUCUUCGGAUUGUAAAGUACUUUCGUUUGGGAGGAAAUGUAUGGGAGCUAUCUCCUAUAUUUGACCUAUCUUAGGAAGAAGGACGGGCUAAGUUCGUGCCAGCAGCCGCGGUAAGACGAACCGUCCAAACAUUAUUCGGAUUCACUGGGCUUCACAGGGUGCGUAGGCUGUU
rnacentral:rRNA from 1 species